UACGAAGGGGGCUAGCGUUGUUCGGAAUUACUGGGCGUAAAGGGCGCGUAGGCGGCUUCGAUAGUCGGGUGUGAAAUGCCUGGGCUCAACCCAGGAACUGCACUCGAAACUCCGAGGCUAGAGUGUGGGAGAGGAUAGUGGAAUUCCCAGUGUAGAGGUGAAAUUCGUAGAUAUUGGGAAGAACACCGGUGGCGAAGGCGGCAUCCUGGACCGGCAUUGACGCUGAGGCGCGAAAGCCAGGGGAGCAAACGGG
rnacentral:rRNA from 1 species